rnacentral:rRNA from 1 species
AGAGUUUGAUCAUGGCUCAGGAUGAACGCUGGCGGCGUGCUUAACACAUGCAAGUCGAACGAACCUUCGGGUUAGUGGCGGACGGGUGAGUAACGCGUGGGAAUCUGCCCUCAGGAGGGGGACAACGGUUGGAAACGGCCGCUAAUACCCCAUAUGCCGAGAGGUGAAAUGAAUUUCGCCUGAGGAUGAGCCCGCGUCUGAUUAGCUAGUUGGUGAGGUAAGAGCUCACCAAGGCAUCGAUCAGUAGCUGGUCUGAGAGGAUGAUCAGCCACACUGGGACUGAGACACGGCCCAGACUCCUACGGGAGGCAGCAGUGGGGAAUUUUCCGCAAUGGGCGAAAGCCUGACGGAGCAACGCCGCGUGAGGGAUGAAGGCCUCUGGGCUGUAAACCUCUUUUAUCAAGGAAGAAGAUCUGACGGUACUUGAUGAAUAAGCCACGGCUAAUUCCGUGCCAGCAGCCGCGGUAAUACGGGAGUGGCAAGCGUUAUCCGGAAUUAUUGGGCGUAAAGCGUCCGCAGGCGGCCCUUCAAGUCUGCUGUUAAAAAGUGGAGCUUAACUCCAUCAUGGCAGUGGAAACUGUUGGGCUUGAGUGUGGUAGGGGCAGAGGGAAUUCCCGGUGUAGCGGUGAAAUGCGUAGAUAUCGGGAAGAACACCAGUGGCGAAGGCGCUCUGCUGGGCCAUCACUGACGCUCAUGGACGAAAGCCAGGGGAGCGAAAGGGAUUAGAUACCCCUGUAGUCCUGGCCGUAAACGAUGAACACUAGGUGUCGGGGGAAUCGACCCCUCCGGUGUCGUAGCCAACGCGUUAAGUGUUCCGCCUGGGGAGUACGCACGCAAGUGUGAAACUCAAAGGAAUUGACGGGGGCCCGCACAAGCGGUGGAGUAUGUGGUUUAAUUCGAUGCAACGUGAAGAACCUUACCAGGGUUUGACAUCCUGCGAAUCUCUUGGAAACUUGAGAGUGCCUUCGGGAGCGCAGUGACAGGUGGUGCAUGGCUGUCGUCAGCUCGUGUCGUGAGAUGUUGGGUUAAGUCCCGCAACGAGCGCAACCCACGUCUUUAGUUGCCAGCAUUUAGUUGGGCACUCUAGAGAGACCGCCGGUGAUAAACCGGAGGAAGGUGUGGAUGACGUCAAGUCAUCAUGCCCCUUACAUCCUGGGCUACACACGUACUACAAUGCUACGGACAAAGGGCAGCAAGUUCGCGAGGACAAGCAAAUCCCAUAAACCGUGGCUCAGUUCAGAUCGUAGGCUGCAACUCGCCUACGUGAAGGAGGAAUCGCUAGUAAUCGCAGGUCAGCAUACUGCGGUGAAUACGUUCCCGGGCCUUGUACACACCGCCCGUCACACCAUGGAAGUUGGCCACGCCCGAAGCCGUUACUCCAACCCAUGUGGAGGAGGACGUCGAAGGUGGGGCUGAUGACUGGGGUGAAGUCGUAACAAGGUA